ACACAUUGAGGCAAUUUGGAUACGGAUCGGAAGUGAGGUGCAAUUCCUCCACAGCCCCCGUUGCUGUAAUGCUGACGACCUGAUUAAACCACUGUGCAAACGGGAAGGGAUCAGGAAGGUUGAAGCUAAGUCAGAAGACGAGUCAAAGCAAUUCCGUAACU
rnacentral:ncRNA from 2 species